rnacentral:rRNA from 1 species
CCUACGGGAGGCAGCAGUGAGGAAUAUUGGUCAAUGGGCGGAAGCCUGAACCAGCCAAGUAGCGUGCAGGAUGACGGCCCUACGGGUUGUAAACUGCUUUUAUUCGGGAAUAACGCGCCUUACGUGUAGGGCAUUGCAUGUACCGUAUGAAUAAGGACCGGCUAAGUACGUGCCAGCAGCCGCGGGAAUACGGAAGGUCCGGGCGGUAUCCGGAUGUAUUGGGUUUAAAGGGAACGUAGGCCGCAUGUCAAGCGUGCUGUGAAAUGUCCGGGCUCAACCCGGGCCUUGCAGCGCGAACUGGCGUGCUUGAGUCCGCGGAAAGCAGGCGGAAUUCGUCGUGUAGCGGUGAAAUGCUUAGAUAUGACGAAGAACCCCGAUUGCGAAGGCAGCUUGCUGCAGCGGAACUGACGCUGAUGCUCGAAAGCGCGGGUAUCGAACAGGAUUAGAUACCCCUGUAGUC